UGGUUCCGGCAUCGAUGAAGAACGCAGCGAAUUGCGAAACGUAGUGUGAAUUGCAGAAUUCAGCGAACCAUCGAAUCUUUGAACGCACAUUGCGCCCGCCGGUAUCCCGGCGGGCAUGCCUGUCCGAGCGUCGUUAAACCGCCCAGGCCAUGUCUGGUGUUAGGGCUCCGCGAUUGGGCGGACUCUGGAAGCUAGCGGCAGCUCGUAUACAGCCCGAGCGUGGUACUCUAUCAAGUUCAGCUCCAGGCCCUCUAGGCUUGGAAUUGGGCAUCGCUCAGGGUUUGUAAGCGAGUGUCUGCCGGAAUACUAUAUAUACAAGCUCGACCUCGGAUCAGGUAGGAAUACCCGCUGA
rnacentral:misc_RNA from 1 species